UACAGAGGGUGCGAGCGUUAAUCGGAAUUACUGGGCGUAAAGGGCGCGUAGGCGGUUUGAUAAGUUAGAUGUGAAAUCUCAGAGCUUAACUUUGAGCGUGCAUUUAAGACUGUUGAGCUAGAGUAGAGUAGAGGGAAGUGGAAUUUCCGGUGUAGCGGUGAAAUGCGUAGAUAUCGGAAAGAACAUCAGUGGCGAAGGCGGCUUCCUGGACUUAUACUGACGCUGAGGCGCGAAAGCAUGGGUAGCAAACAGG
rnacentral:rRNA from 1 species